UGUGUGAGUGUGUGUGUGUGAGUGUGUGUGUGUGAGUGAGUGAUCGGGGAGGUGGCGAUCUGGCAAACAUCACACUGGAGUGCCCACACCCA
rnacentral:miRNA from 1 species